AGCAUGUUGGCUCAGAGGAAGCGCGUCGUAAGUUUCUGGUGAAUCUCUUCACUAAGAAAACCAACACUAACAUUACCAAAGGGGCUCAUAACCCGAAGGUACGAUACAAUUCUAGGAAUUACUCAGGAGUUCACUGAACUAACAUCACCAAGGUCCCUGGAUCGAAACCAGGACAUGCUA
rnacentral:tRNA from 1 species